UAAAUCCUUAUUCCAGAGGUGUCUCCCUACCCAGCUAGCUCGGCCGUUUGAAUCCCUGCAGCGCCAUCUGCUGGUAAGCCGAUCACAAUACUUCUGUUCCUCUGGAGGAAUUUAAUCACUCCUUCCCUCAAAGCCCAGUUCGCGCAUCAGCUCAGAACCCCGAGCAUUAGGGGCCAAAUGCGCGGCUCAUCCAACCAGCAUCUUUUGCAGAGCCAGGAGCUGGCCUCUCUUGCUAAACGCUGCCAUAUGAGAACUCAGCAGGAAACACGGCUUUAAGAAGCUCAGCCCUUCCUCCGGAGACAGAGAAUGGCCUGGAAAUCUUGUCUGCCCAAGAAAACCUGUCAGACUCCACAGAUUGUCCUUAUUCUGGAAGAGGGGCCAGAUUUUGGAGUCUCCCACCAUAUGGCCAAUACCUUUGAAAAGGACAGAAUCAAGACUGGCUUGCAGUGUGUUCAGUAAAGGAUUAGCACAUGUUUUUCAA